rnacentral:rRNA from 1 species
UACGAAGGGGGCGAGCGUUGUUCGGAGUUACUGGGCGUAAAGGGCGCGUAGGCGGCGAUCCAAGUUAGGCGUGAAAGCCCCGGGCUUAACCUGGGAAUUGCGCUUAAGACUGGACUGCUUGAGUGCGGGAGAGGUGAGUGGAAUUCCCAGUGUAGAGGUGAAAUGCGUAGAUAUCUGGAGGAACACCGGUGGCGAAGGCGGCAUCCUGGACCAAUUCUGACGCUGAGGAGCGAAAGCCAGGGGAGCAAACGGG